rnacentral:rRNA from 1 species
GAGAUUUAAGUGAGAAUCUUAAAGGCCGAAUAUCUAAGGUUUCCAGGGUAAAGCUGAUCUUCCCUGGGUAAGUCGGGGCCUAAGGCGAGGGCGAGAGCCGUAGUCGAUGGAUAACAGGUUGAAAUUCCUGUACUGCUUAUGGACAGAACUGUGGGGACGCAGAAGGAGAGCACGAGCCGGAAAUGGAAAAGCCGGUACAAGCGUAUAGCAGUCAUGCAGGCAAAACCGCAUGAAAAAUGUAAAGCGUUAUGUGGAUCGAACAUUAGUAGAGAAGCGUGUGAGCCAGCUGCCAAGAAAAGCCGCUAUUGUUUCAUAAGUACCCGUACCGUAAACCGACACAGGUGGAUGAGGAGAGAAUCCUAAGGCCGGCGGGAGAAGUGUUGUUAAGGAACUCGGCAAAAUGACUCCGUAACUUCGGGAGAAGGAGUGCCACAGAGAUGUGGCCGCAGAGAAAUGGCCCAAGCAACUGUUUAGCAAAAACACAGGUCUAUGCAAAACCGAAAGGUGAGGUAUAUGGGCUGACGCCUGCCCGGUGCUGGAAGGUUAAGAGGAGAGGUUAGAGCAAUCGAAGCUUUGAAUUUAAGCCCCAGUAAACGGCGGCCGUAACAAUAACGGUCCUAAGGUAGCGAAAUUCCUUGUCGGGUAAGUUCCGACCCGCACGAAAGGCGUAAUGAUUUGGGCACUGUCUCAACAACACACCCGGUGAAAUUGAAAUACCAGUGAAGAUGCUGGUUACCUGCGCCAGGACGGAAAGACCCCAUGGAGCUUUACUCCGGUUUGAUACUGGGAUUCGGUACUGUCUGUACAGGAUAGGUGGGAGGCUAGGAAAUGGUGACGCCAGUUGCCAUGGAGCCAACCUUGGGAUACCACCCUUACAGUACUGGGUUUCUAACCUGCAGCCGUAACCCGGCUGGGGGACAAUGUCUGACGGGGAGUUUGACUGGGGCGGUCGCCUCCGAAAGAGUAUCGGAGGCGCUCAAAGGUUCCCUCAGAACGGUUGGAAACCGUUCGAAGAGUGCAAAGGCAGAAGGGAGCUUGACUGCGACACCGACGGGUGGAGCAGAUACGAAAGUAGGACUUAGUGAUCCGGUGGUAUAAAGUGGGAUUGCCAUCGCUCAACGGAUAAAAGCUACCCUGGAUAACAGGCUUAUCACUCCCAAGAGUUCACAUCGACGGAGUGGUUUGGCACCUCGAUGUCGGCUCAUCGCAUCCUGGAGCUGUAGCAGGUUCCAAGGGUUGGGCUGUUCGCCCACUAAAGCGGUACGCGAGCUGGGUUCAGAACGUCGUGAGACAGUUCGGUCCCUAUCCGGCGUGGGCGUAGGAUAUUUGAGAGGAGCUGUCCUUAGUACGAGAGGACCGGGAUGGACAAACCUCUGGUGUAUCUGUUGUUUUACCAAAGGCAUGGCAGAGUAGCCAAGUUUGGCAGGGAUAAACGCUGAAGGCAUCUAAGCGUGAAGCCCCCCUCAAGAUAAGAUAUCCCAUCUUCGGAGUAAGACCCCUUGAAGACUACAAGGUUGAUAGGCUUCAGGUGUAAGUGUGGUAACGCACUCAGCUGAGAAGUACUAAUAGGUCGAGGACUUAUCU